UUCCGGUUGAUCCUGCCGGAGGCCACUGCUAUGGGGGUCCGACUAAGCCAUGCGAGUCAUGGGGUCCCUUCGGGGACACCGGCGGACGGCUCAGUAACACGUCGGUAACCUACCCUCGGGAGGGGGAUAACCCCGGGAAACUGGGGCUAAUCCCCCAUAGGCCUGGGGUACUGGAAGGUCCCCAGGCCAAAAGGGGCUCUGCCCGCCCGAGGAUGGGCCGGCGGCCGAUUAGGUAGUUGGUGGGGUAACGGCCCACCAAGCCGAAGAUCGGUACGGGCCAUGAGAGUGGGAGCCCGGAGAUGGACACUGAGACACGGGUCCAGGCCCUACGGGGCGCAGCAGGCGCGAAACCUCCGCAAUGCGGGCAACCGCGACGGGGGGACCCCCAGUGCCGUGGCAAAGCCACGGCUUUUCCGGAGUGUAAAAAGCUCCGGGAAUAAGGGCUGGGCAAGGCCGGUGGCAGCCGCCGCGGUAAUACCGGCGGCCCAAGUGGUGGCCGCUAUUAUUGGGCCUAAAGCGUCCGUAGCCGGGCCCGUAAGUCCCUGGCGAAAUCCCACGGCUCAACCGUGGGGCUUGCUGGGGAUACUGCGGGCCUUGGGACCGGGAGAGGCGGGGGGUACCCCUGGGGUAGGGGUGAAAUCCUAUAAUCCCAGGGGGACCGCCAGUGGCGAAGGCGCCCCGCUGGAACGGGUCCGACGGUGAGGGACGAAGGCCAGGGGAGCGAACCGGAUUAGAUACCCGGGUAGUCCUGGCUGUAAAGGAUGCGGGCUAGGUGUCGGGCGAGCUUCGAGCUCGCCCGGUGCCGGAGGGAAGCCGUUAAGCCCGCCGCCUGGGGAGUACGGCCGCAAGGCUGAAACUUAAAGGAAUUGGCGGGGGAGCACUACAAGGGGUGGAGCGUGCGGUUUAAUUGGAAUCAACGCCGGA
rnacentral:rRNA from 1 species